rnacentral:lncRNA from 12 species
AAAAAAUCUACCCGGCCCCUUGAAAGCACUGCAGAGGGGCUGAGGCUGUGCUGCAGGCUGGGUACACAGCCGAGGGUCCCCAGCUGAGAGUCACUGCCGACUGGCACCACCCACACUGGAUGGGCAGCUGGGACACCAGACAGAGAUCCUGGGCAGGCAGGGAUGCCAGGAGAAGAGAAGGAUGCAGGACAGGCAGGGAUGCAGGGCAGGCAGGGAUGCAGGGCAGGCAGGGAUCCCAGGAGAAGAGAGGGAUGCAGGACAGGCAGAGAUCCCAGAAGAAGGCAGAGAUGCAGGGCAGGCAGGGAUGCAGGGUAGGCAGAGAUGCAGGGCAGGGAUGCAGGGCAGGGAUGCAGGACAGGCAGGGAUCCCAGGAGAAGACAGGGAUGCAGGGCAGGCAGG